GACGAACGCUGGCGGCGUGCUUAACACAUGCAAGUCGAACGGAAAGGCCCUUCGGGGUACUCGAGUGGCGAACGGGUGAGUAACACGUGGGUGAUCUGCCCUGCACUUUGGGAUAAGCCUGGGAAACUGGGUCUAAUACCGAAUAGGACCACGCGCUUCAUGGUGUGUGGUGGAAAGCUUUUGCGGUGUGGGAUGGGCCCGCGGCCUAUCAGCUUGUUGGUGGGGUAAUGGCCUACCAAGGCGACGACGGGUAGCCGGCCUGAGAGGGUGACCGGCCACACUGGGACUGAGAUACGGCCCAGACUCCUCCGGGAGGCAGCAGUGGGGAAUAUUGCACAAUGGGCGCAAGCCUGAUGCAGCGACGCCGCGUGAGGGAUGACGGCCUUCGGGUUGUAAACCUCUUUCACCAGGGACGAAGCGUAAGUGACGGUACCUGGAGAAGAAGCACCGGCCAACUACGUG
rnacentral:rRNA from 1 species